rnacentral:misc_RNA from 1 species
GCUGCUCUGUCUGUCUGUCUACCUGCGAUAACAAUAAAAAAGCUAUCGCUAAGUAAAAUUUACUUAGUGGUGCAUAAUAACAAUUUAAAAUGCGGUAUAUAAAACUUUUAUUGACAAUUUACAGUUCAAAUAAUUCACAAUUUCAUGCCACAAUUUUCAUAAUUCAUAUAACACAAAUUUAAUCAAACAAUUGAACAACACAGUAUUGCCAAUCAAUAGCACAACUUAGGUCAUGACACAAACUUUUCCGAACAUGCCGUGUUAUACACCACGACAAGGCAAACUCAC